rnacentral:tRNA from 1 species
CUCCAGUUAGCCUAGUGGUUAAGGCUUUGGUUCACCAAUCCGGAGACGGCGGAGACGGCGGGUUCGAUUCCCGUUCUGGUCG